rnacentral:rRNA from 1 species
GUAGGUGGCAAGCGUUGUCCGGAAUUAUUGGGCGUAAAGCGCGCGCAGGCGGUUCUUUAAGUCUGAUGUGAAAGCCCACGGCUCAACCGUGGAGGGUCAUUGGAAACUGGAGAACUUGAGUACAGAAGAGGAAAGCGGAAUUCCACGUGUAGCGGUGAAAUGCGUAGAGAUGUGGAGGAACACCAGUGGCGAAGGCGGCUUUCUGGUCUGUAACUGACGCUGAGGCGCGAAAGCGUGGGGAGCAAACAGGGAUUAGAUACCCUGGUAGUCCACGCCGUAAACGAUGAGUGCUAAGUGUUAGGGGGUUUCCGCCCCCUUAGUGCUGCAGCUAACGCAUUAAGCACUCCGCCCUGGGGAUACGGCCGCAAGGCUG